UCUGUUCCCAUGCGCUGGCUGUUGCCUCUGCUGCGGAGAGGCCGCGCACGCCCCUUUCUUCCUUAAACAUCUUUCCUUCCUUGCUCCUUUUCUCUCUCCCGCUCUCCAUUCUCACUGUCCGUCAUUCACUUGCUUCACCACACCAGGUUUUGCUUUCUCUCCGACUCGAUGUGUCUGCCUGUUGUUCUUCUCCGUCCGUGUGCAUGCCCGUUGUGAUGGCGUCCCUGCGUGCGGUCGGUGCUGCUGGUUGAGGUCAAUGCUCUGCUUCCUUCUGAUCGUGUUCGUUUUCCACAUUGCACCUUGCUUACCUUGGUGCUCUUCCUUUUCUAUGCUACAUGUGUAGCUGAAAUCCUCUCUGUGCUGUCUCCUGCGCUGGCCGGCGCGCCAUUUUGCCAUAUGCAUUUAGAUUGUUUGUCUGACAUUCCGCCUUCGUUUGCUCGCCGCUGUCCUGGUUAUUGUUCUUAAUCCUGGUUUGAAGACCUACUCUAUUUUUGCAUCUGCACCUGCGACUUCCCCCUUUUGUCAACUUUGCUUUUUCCACAAAGCGGCUAUAGUUAUGUGUUAUAGCAGCCCUGUUGUCAACCCCUUUCAUCAGUCGAACAUAGGAUAAACAACACCUAGAUGAAAGCUUAAUCCGUAUUCGAUCGACGAGAGUGGAGAGAAACUUCAUCA